CGGGGGCGCGCCGAAGCCUCGCCUGCUGUUGUCCCGGGAGCGCACGUGCGCUGCGGUGGGGCGCCGAGGGGCGUUCGGCGGGUGCCCCUAGGGGACUGGGGGACAGGGAACGCGAAGUGGGUAGAGACGCUGCCUGAGAGGUCCCGACGUAGGCUGUUGCCUCGGCCCCGGCAUUGUGCUGCGGUGCAAAAAUAAAAAACCGGCCGCCGCCGCAGCAGCAGCAGUAGCACCGGGAAGAGGCAUCCUCCGAGACUACGGCAGUGGCUCCUCUCUACUCCCAGCUGACCCCCAGAACACUGUCACCGCGCCGCGGAGGAGAGGGGGCUUUGCCUCAAGUCAGGAAGAUCCUCGCCUCUCCAUCCCUUGCACAUUUGGGUCUAGAAUGGACGCGCCCCGGUUAUUAUUUGGAAUCCGGGGGCCUAAAAGUUCCUUCAGUUGGCUUCUUCAUUCAGAGUUAUGGACCAGAAAAUUGAAAGUGGCAUGGCAGGGGAGAGAAAGGACAAGAAAGGGUGAAAGAGUGGCCAAACUGAAGGAGAAAGUCCACCAGAAGAGUGCAA
rnacentral:lncRNA from 10 species